rnacentral:rRNA from 1 species
CCAAGGAGUCUAACAUGCUUGCGAGUGAAUGGGUGAUGUUAAACCCAGACGCGAAAUGAAAGUGAAUUUGCACACGAUCUUGUGACUACUAGUGUGCAGGAGCAGUGUGGUGGCAUCGCGAUAGCUUGCUCUGCGGUGCACACAGAGCAGUCAUGUUGGGACCCGAAAGAUGGUGAACUAUGCCUGAGCAGGACGAAGCCAGAGGAAACUCUGGUGGAGGUCCGAAGCGGUUCUGACGUGCAAAUCGAUCGUCAGACUUGGGUAUAGGGGCGAAAGACUAAUCGAACCAUCUAGUAGCUGGUUCCCUCCGAAGUUUCCCCCAGGAUAGCUGGCGCUCGUCUGUAUGCAGUCUUAUCCGGUAAAGCGAAUGAUUAGAGGACUUGGGGACAAAACGACCUCAACCUAUUCUCAAACUUUAGAUGGGUAAGGAAGUCUGGCUUGCCUGACCGAAGCCUAGACAGUGGAUGUGAGUGCCAAGUGGGCCAUUUUU